CUNCAGGUGAUCCUGCCGGACCCGACUGCUAUCAGAGUGAGAUUAAGCCAUGCGAGUUAACGUAGCAAUACGUGGCGCACGGCUCAGUAACACGUAGUCAACAUGCCCAGGGGACGUGGAUAACCUCGGGAAACUGAGGAUAAACCGCGAUAGGUCAUCACUUCUGGAAUGGGUAAUGACUUAAAUCUAUAUGGCCCCUGGAUUGGACUGCGGCCGAUCAGGCUGUUGGUGAGGUAAUGGCCCACCAAACCUGUAACCGGUACGGGCUCUGAGAGGAGGAGCCCGGAGAUGGGCACUGAGACAAGGGCCCAGGCCCUAUGGGGCGCAGCAGGCGCGAAACCUCUGCAAUAGGCGAAAGCUUGACAGGGUUACUCUGAGUGAUUUCCGUUAAGGAGAUCUUUUGGCACCUCUAAAAAUGGUGCAGAAUAAGGGGUGGGCAAGUCUGGUGUCAGCCGCCGCGGUAAUACCAGCACCCCGAGUGGUCGGGACGUUUAUUGGGCCUAAAGCAUCCGUAGCCGGUUCUACAAGUCUUCCGUUAAAUCCACCUGCUUAACAGAUGGGCUGCGGAAGAUACUAUAGAGCUAGGAGGCGGGAGAGGCAAGCGGUACUCGAUGGGUAGGGGUAAAAUCCGUUGAUCCAUUGAAGACCACCAGUGGCGAAGGCGGCUUGCCAGAACGCGCUCGACGGUGAGGGAUGAAAGCUGGGGGAGCAAACCGGAUUAGAUACCCGGGUAGUCCCAGCUGUAAACGAUGCAGACUCGGUGAUGAGUUGGCUUCUUGCCAACUCAGUGCCGCAGGGAAGCCGUUAAGUUUGCCGCCUGGGGAGUACGGUCGCAAGACUGAAACUUAAAGGAAUUGGCGGGGGAGCA
rnacentral:rRNA from 1 species